rnacentral:rRNA from 1 species
CCCUUAGAUGUUCUGGGCUGCACGCGCGCUACACUGAUGCACUCAACGAGUUUACGACCUUGCCCGAUAGGGUUGGGUAAUCUUUUUAAAAUGCAUCGUGAUGGGGAUAGAUUAUUGCAAUUAUUAAUCUUCAACGAGGAAUUCCUAGUAAGCGCGAGUCAUCAGCUCGUGCUGAUUACGUCCCUGCCCUUUGUACACACCGCCCGUCGCUCCUACCGAUUGAGUGCUCAGGUGAAUAAUUCGGACUGCAGCAAUGUUUGGAUCCCGAACGUUGCAUCGGAAAGUUUAGUGAACCUUAUCACUUAGAGGAAGGAGAAGUCGUAACA